rnacentral:rRNA from 1 species
UACGAAGGGGGCUAGCGUUGCUCGGAAUCACUGGGCGUAAAGGGUGCGUAGGCGGGUCUUUAAGUCAGGGGUGAAAUCCUGGAGCUCAACUCCAGAACUGCCCUUGAUACUGAAGGUCUUGAGUUCGGGAGAGGUGAGUGGAACUGCGAGUGUAGAGGUGAAAUUCGUAGAUAUUCGCAAGAACACCAGUGGCGAAGGCGGCUCACUGGCCCGAUACUGACGCUGAGGCACGAAAGCGUGGGGAGCAAACAGGAUUAGAUACCCUGGUAGUCCACGCUGUAAACGAUGAAUGCCAGCCGUUAGUGGGUUUACUCACUAGUGGCGCAGCUAACGCUUUAAGCAUUCCGCCUGGGGAGUACGGUCGCAAGAUUAAAACUCAAAG